rnacentral:tRNA from 2 species
CGGGAUGUGGCGCAGCCUGGUUAGCGCGCUUGUCUGGGGGACAAGAGGUCGGAGGUUCAAAUCCUCUCAUCCCGACCA